UCGAAGAGGCUUCUACAGUCA
rnacentral:piRNA from 1 species